rnacentral:rRNA from 1 species
UACGGAGGAUGCAAGCGUUAUCCGGAAUGAUUGGGCGUAAAGGGUCCGCAGGUGGCAGUGUAAGUCUGCUGUCAAAGAAUGAGGCUUAACCUCAUCAAGGCAGUGGAAACUACACAGCUAGAGUACGGUCGGGGUAGAAGGAAUUCCUGGUGUAGCGGUGAAAUGCGUAGAGAUCAGGAAGAACACCGGUGGCGAAAGCGUUCUGCUAGACCUGUACUGACACUGAGGGACGAAAGCUAGGGGAGCGAACGGG